rnacentral:tRNA from 1 species
GGGGCAAUGGCGCAUCUGGGAGCGCGUCAGACUGAAGUCAAAACUUCGGCCAUAUCGUCCUUCGGGAUGACUGUUAAUCUGAAGGUGGCCGGUUCAAGCCCGGCUUGCCCCA